GACGAACGCUGGCGGCGUGCUUAACACAUGCAAGUCGAACGGUGAAGGGACCGGUUUUUGCUGGUUCUGGAUGAGUGGCGAACGGGUGAGUAACACGUGAGUAACCUGCCCCCUUCUUCUGGAUAACCGCAUGAAAGUGUGGCUAAUACGGGAUAUUCUGCGCCUGCUGCAUGGUGGGUGUGGGAAAGAUAUUGUUUCGGUGGGGGAUGGGCUCGCGGCCUAUCAGCUUGUUGGUGGGGUGAUGGCCUACCAAGGCGGUGACGGGUAGCCGGCCUGGGAGGGUGGACGGUCACACUGGGACUGAGACACGGCCCAGACUCCUACGGGAGGCAGCAGUGGGGAAUAGUGCACAAUGGGCGCAAGCCUGAUGCAGCGACGCCGCGUGAGGGAUGGAGGCCUUCGGGUUGUAAACCUCUUUCGCCAGUGAAGCAGGCCUGUCCCUUUUGUGGGUGGGUUGGCGGUAGCUGGAUAAGAAGCGCCGGCUAACUACGUG
rnacentral:rRNA from 1 species